rnacentral:rRNA from 1 species
UACGUAGGCAGCAAGCGUUGUUCGGAGUUACUGGGCGUAAAGAGUGCGUAGGCGGUGUCGAAAGUUUGGCGUGAAAUCUCCCGGCUUAACUGGGAGGGUGCGCCGAAAACUGCGGUGCUGGAGUGUGGGAAAGGCAAGCGGAAUUCCUGGUGUAGCGGUGAAAUGCGUAGAUAUCAGGAGGAACACCGGUGGUGUAGACGGCUUUCUGGACCGUAACUGACGCUGAAACACGAAAGCGUGGGUAGCAAACAGG